UCGGUGAUUUAACCCCGCCUACGAAACAGCGAGAAAGACCGAGGAGGCUGGGCAACCACAACACAACAAAACACAAAUCACUGGCCUGGGACUUCACGGAAAUUUCUGAGGCUGAGGCGUUGGGAGGCUGCUGCCUGUCUGCGCAUGUGUGUUUUUCAUGAUUGCUCCAGUGUGUCUCUGUGCAUUCUGGGAGGGACAGCUCAGUCUUUGCUAUCCUGGGAGGCAGCAGUGAUGGCCCCAGUAACUGGUCCCUGCCAGCCACGUGGGAGAUCUGGACAGCAUUCCCAGGCAUCUGAGCUGACAGGUGGAUGCAACAAGACAAUCCUGCAGGAGCCUCUCAGGUUUCCACACUUCUUGAGGGACAAGGCCCUGACCAUGGUUCACUCUGAACUAUCAGAUCAAGAUGUUAAGGUGAACAGCUGUGAAAGGUACAGUGUCUCUUUCCAGAGCAAAAGCCGACAUGCUUAUUGCCAUGAUCAGGUCUGAUAACUUCUGGGCUCCUCUUCUAUAACUCAGUCCACUUCCUGCGAAUGCAUUUAUAUGGGCCUACUUGUAUCACCUGGCACAGGCCUGGCUAUUUUGGGCAUUUGGAGAGUGAACCACACAUGGAAGACAAUCUCUCACUCUCCUUCUCUCUCUCUCUCCCUCUCCUUCAAAUGAGAGAAUAAAAAAGAAAUAAAUAAUCUUUAAAAAUGUUUAGUAUUUUCAAGUCAGUGUCUAUUUUAUUUCUCAAAAACGAGUAUGGAAAGCAUAGCAAUAGAAAGAUGAUCCAUUAUACAACAACAUGAACUUAAAGGUAGACAACAUUUUUCUAAAUCAGGUCCUCUGCUCGCUUUAGCUUUGGAAUUUAUUAGCACUUAAAAAAACAGUGACGUUUUCAUCAUUUAAAAAUAGUUAAGAACAGCAGGAAAAUUAUCAUGCAAAACAAGAGACCUUUUUUAAACACAAUGAAGACCAGCUGAUUCCAUCAUUUUUUUCCUAUCCUGUACUUCAUUAAACUGGAUUCAAAAUACAAGAGAAGAAACAGAAUGUGUCUACUACAUAGCACCAACCUAGAGAAUAUUAUUAAGGCACAUUUAUAGUAACAACCCAUGUUUUUGCUGACUUUCACAACUUCAAGAACAACAAAUGCUCUCAAAGUCUCUCCAUUUCUACCUAGGAGUCCCCAGCCACAGACUCUGAUUUUACUGCUGACAAAGAGGCAACCAAAGAGACUGUGGCUCUGCAGGAGCCAGCCUCCAGGAUUUAAAUUGAGCUCUCUGGAAAUUUCAGCAUGACAAAGCAAUGCCUUGUUCCUUCUGAAAUGGGGAGAAAGCACCUUUUUUGUCUUUCAUGGAAAUCCAGGAAGAGUUGCUUAGUGCCUAAUCUCACAGAGGUUCUGGGCUUUCUUACUCUCAGCUCCUCUUCCCUGUAAGACCCAAAUGGUACUGGACCAGGGGCACAGCCAAGAAGCUGACACGAUACAACACAUAAAAUCCAGGCUCCCUUUGACGCCAAAAGCAUCUCAUAGGCCAGCUUCUCCCUGACUUACACUUCUGAGUUUUUUUCCUAGAGGUUUCAUUUAGGUAUGCAAAUAGACCACAUGCAGACUCAAGCCCCUUGCCAGCCAGACUUGUUUGAAUGCUAGCAGGAAAUACAGCUUAGCCUCCAUUGGUGAAGCUUACCCUUCUACUGGGAGAGCAGCCGAAGAUGACACAAGUGCUGAGCCCCCCCAACCACAUGGAAGACCCAGAUGGAGUUCCAGGCUUCUGGCUUCAGUGUGGCCAGGCCCUGGUUGUUGUGGCCAUUUGGGGAGUGAACCAGCAGAUGGAAGAUAUCCCUCCCCAUCCUCCUCCUCCUGCCACUCCCCCUCCCUUUCUUUCUCCCUUUCUCUCUGUAACAUUGCCAUUCAAAUAAAUAAAUAGGGUCCUGCAUUAUGGUGUAACUGGUUAAGCUACCACCUGCAAUGCCAGCCUCCAAUCUGGGCUCUGGUUUGAAUCCUGGAUGCUCCACUUCUAAUCCAGCUUCCUGCUAAUGCACCUGGGAAAACAGUGGAAAAUAGCACAAGUGCUUGGGCCCCUGUACCCAUGUGGGAGACCUGUAGGAAGCUCCUGGCUCCUGACUUCGCCUUGGCCCGAUCUCGGCCAUUGCAGCCAUUUGGGGAGUGUACCAGCACAAGAAAGACCUUUCUCUGUCUCUCCCUCUCUCUCUGUAACUGUGACUUUCAAAAUAAAUAAAUCUUAAAAAAAUCUUUAAAAAAAUAAGUGCUGAAUUAAUUUUAUAUCAAUACAAAAAAGAGUAUAAAUGUAUACCUAAUACCAUAAACAUAUAUUAAUUUAAAAUGCACCAAAGACCUAAAUGUAAAAUCUAAAACUACAAAACUUCUGGAAAAAAAUACAGGAGAAAUUACUGUGACUUUGGGUUAGGCAAGGAAUUCUUAGCUAUGCCACCAAAAAUACAGUAAAAGUAAAUUUUUAGUUGAUAAACUGGUGCUGUUCUCUGAACAUUUGUAUCUUCCCCAAAUUCCUAAACUUGGAGCCUUUCCAAGCUAAGUAAGCCAUGAAGGCAGAGCUGUCAUAAAUGGGUUAAACUCCUCAUAAAAGAGACCCAGAAGAGCUAGCCUGCCCCUUCCACACGUAAGAACACAGCAACAAGGCCCCACAUAUGAAACGUAAGACAGGCUUUCACCAGACCCUGAAGCUGCUGGUGUCUUGGAUCUUGGAGUUUCUAGCUUCCAGAUCUGUGCAAAAUAAAUUUCUGUUAUUUGUAAGCUACUACCCAAUUUAAAAUAUUUUGUUAUAGUAGACCAGAUAACUAAUUGGCUUUGCCUCUAAUAAUCUUUCGAUCAAUUUUUUGAAUUCUGUUUCCAGCAUUUCUUAAAUCUCUUUAACUUCACAUUCUAGUACUGAAAUGUUGUGUUCCUUUGGGGACAUCAUGUUGUCUUCCUUAUUCUUGUGUCUUGAAUUUUGCAUUUAUUUUUAGGCAUUUGUGGAGAUACUUUUUUUUCUUCUUCUUCCCUGUGAUUGCUUUUAUCUUUGAACUAUGCCUCUGUGGCUAGUGGAGUGUCAGUGAAUACCUGGAGGCAUGCGUUGGAUGUGGCCUGGGAGCUCUGUUCAGUGCUCCAGGGUGAGAGGAGUGUUCAAGGUGACACCCAAGUUGGGUGUAGUAAAUCACCCCCCCUCCUUUUUUUUUUACUCAGAGGGGAGGGUUUGAUCAGCUUUGCUGGCAUGGUCUCACACUCAUCUCCUUUCCUCCAAGGGGUCCAAUGCCCAGGCCCUAGCCCCAGUGGGUGUAAUAUUCAUCCGUGCUGCCACAAGAACCACACAAAGGAUAUGUGCAGACCUCAGUGUGAGCACGGAUCCUUGCAGCAGUGACUCUCAUCAGGCAGUCAGGGAGCCCUGAGUGUGUAGAGCCGCCCAUGAUGAAUGCUCUGAAACCCAGCCACACCCUGUGACCUCCCACGCAGCCAAAGUGUUUUCACAGUGUGUCCCAACACACAUGGCUCCCUCAGUCAUGAAUGCCCAGUCCCCUAUCAAUUCUCUCAACCAGACUCAGCUGGAUGUUGGGCACACAGACACAAGAGGGCAUGGCUGUUAUAUAUGCUCAAAGUGGUACCCACCCCUCUCAGCUAGUUACAGGACACCAGUACCAGGUGAUUGGGGAAA